GCCCGUUUAGCUCAGUGGUAGAGCGCGCCACUCGUAUCCCGUUAUGCGAUGGUGAGGUCGGUUGUUCAAUCCAGCCAAUGGGCA